rnacentral:rRNA from 1 species
AACGCGAAGAACCUUACCUGGGCUCGAAAUGUACCGGAAUCCGGCAGAAACGUCGGCGUCUAGCAAUAGACCGGUAUAUAGGUGCUGCAUGGCUGUCGUCAGCUCGUGUCGUGAGAUGUUGGGUUAAGUCCCGCAACGAGCGCAACCCUUAUCCCUAGUUGCCAUCGGGUCAAGCCGGGCACUCUAGUGAAACCGCCCCGGAUAACGGGGAGGAAGGUGGGGAUGACGUCAAGUCCUCAUGGCCUUUAUGUCCAGGGCUACACACGUGCUACAAUGGUCGGUACAAACCGUCGCAAACCCGCGAGGGGGAGCUAAUCGGAAAAAGCCGACCUCAGUUCGGAUUGGAGUCUGCAACUCGACUCCAUGAAGCUGGAAUCGCUAGUAAUCGCGGAUCAGAACGCCGCGGUGAAUACGUUCCCGGGCCUUGUACACACCGUAGAGAC